UAGAGUUUGAUCCUGGCUCAGGAUGAACGCUGGCGGCGUGCCUAAUACAUGCAAGUCGAACGAACUUCCGUUAAUUGAUUAUGACGUACUUGUACUGAUUGAGAUUUUAACACGAAGUGAGUGGCGAACGGGUGAGUAACACGUGGGUAACCUGCCCAGAAGUAGGGGAUAACACCUGGAAACAGAUGCUAAUACCGUAUAACAGAGAAAACCGCAUGGUUUUCUUUUAAAAGAUGGCUCUGCUAUCACUUCUGGAUGGACCCGCGGCGUAUUAGCUAGUUGGUGAGGCAAAGGCUCACCAAGGCAGUGAUACGUAGCCGACCUGAGAGGGUAAUCGGCCACAUUGGGACUGAGACACGGCCAGACCCU
rnacentral:rRNA from 1 species